GAGACCGGCGCACGGGUGCGUAACGCGUAUGCAAUCUACCUUUUGCAGAGGGAUAGCCCAGAGAAAUUUGGAUUAAUACCUCAUAGUAUAGCAGUUUCGCAUGAAACCACUAUUAAAGUCACAACGGCAAAAGAUGAGCAUGCGUCCCAUUAGCUAGUUGGUAAGGUAACGGCUUACCAAGGCUACGAUGGGUAGGGGUCCUGAGAGGGAGAUCCCCCACACUGGUACUGAGACACGGACCAGACUCCUACGGGAGGCAGCAGUGAGGAAUAUUGGACAAUGGGCGCAAGCCUGAUCCAGCCAUGCCGCGUGCAGGAUGACGGUCCUAUGGAUUGUAAACUGCUUUUGUACAGGAAGAAACACUCCCUCGUGAGGGAGCUUGACGGUACUGUAAGAAUAAGGAUCGGCUAACUCCGUGCCAGCAGCCGCGGUAAUACGGAGGAUCCAAGCGUUAUCCGGAAUCAUUGGGUUUAAAGGGUCCGUAGGCGGUUUAGUAAGUCAGUGGUGAAAGCCCAUCGCUCAACGGUGGAACGGCCAUUGAUACUGCUAGACUUGAAUUAUUACGAAGGAACUAUAAUAUGUAGUGUAGCGGUGAAAUGCUUAGAGAUUACAUGGAAUACCAAUUGCGAAGGCAGGUUACUACUAAUGGAUUGACGCUGAUGGACGAAAGCGUGGGUAGCGAACAGGAUUAGAUACCCUGGUA
rnacentral:rRNA from 1 species